rnacentral:lncRNA from 1 species
GUAGCUGGGACCACAGAUGCGGGCCACCAUGCCUGGGAAUCUCCAAGAUAAACGCUGCCUGGGUAGCAAGCAAUGGGGAAGGAACCCUCCUCCCCCUCCCCUGGUUAGGCCCUGUUUGUCCUUAGAAGCCUUGGCACCGGCUCCCUCCUGUCUCUCAGCUGCCCUCAGGAGAGGAAGGGCUGCUCCCCAGUGGGGUCCAUGCAGCAGCCCCAGCAGGAUGGUUUCUGACAGGGAGGGGCUGGUGAGGAGGGGAAGCCGGGCAGCCUUCCUGGAGGAGGCGGGCCUUACUGGUUGAAGCAGUGGGCGGCAGACAGCAGCCAGCGGUCCCCCACCACAGUUGCUCCGCAGAAGUGCCGGGACCCUUCCUUCAGGCUGACCUGCCAGGGCACCUCCCCGGAGGCAGCUCCGAACCCGCCCACGACCCGGGUGGGCUUCUCCAUUGCAGGCCUGGCCCCACAUUCUGGAAGGAGGACACAAGACCAGGUCUGGGGAUCUUGGCCUGCUCGGGUGGGAGCAUCCGGUGGGGUGGUCCCAGGACACCGGUUGCAGCCAGGCCCUGAAGAUGCCGCAAUCCCUCCCGUUCCACACAAGAAGCCGUGGAGGCUUCAAGGUGUCCGUAGUUUGCCCAAGGUCCUGCAGCAAGUUCGUGGCCUCGCUUCGGGGACAGAAGUUAAGAAAGAAACAUACAGCGGCCCAGUCAGCCCGAGGACCCCCCGCAACAGACCCCACCACAGACCCGCAGCCCACAAAGCCAGGUUUAUGGCCUCCUUGCAAAGACGGGGCUGCACUCCAGGAGACCCAUGGGGCGGCUGAGAAAAGGAAGGGUACGAUUGUUAGGGGGUUUCGGAACAGAGUGUGGGGUGUAGGUGAACUGAAAUGAAGCGUGAGCCACCGUGCCCAGCCCUGGAACCUUCUUGAGUUGAGCCUGCAGCUCACUCAUGGCCCAGCUGACCACCCAGGGGCAAAAGUCCACGGGGUUCCCAUAGACCAACCCUUCCCAUACAGACGGAGAGAAUCUGAUGCCCAGGGUAUGUGCUGGCAUCAUUCAUACAAGAGGUGUUUCUUGGGUGCCACGUUGUAUCAGGCCCAGUGCUGGGAACAGUGUCUGUGUCCCCACACAAGUCCCGGUUUGGAGGGCAGCUGGGGGGGAUUUACACAGGGACCCCAUCAUAGCCAGGGAGAUUACUCAGGGACCCCAGGCUCUGUGGCACGCACCUGGGGCCCACUGGAAGGGAGCAGGGAG